rnacentral:rRNA from 1 species
CCUGCACGAAGUCGGAAUUGCUAGUAAUCGUAGGUCAGCAUACUACGGUGAAUACGUUCCCGGGCCUUGUACACACCGCCCGUCAAACCAUGAGAGUUGGCAACACCCGAAGUCGGUAGUCUAACCGCAAGGAGGACGCCGCCGAAGGUGGGGUUGAUGAUUAGGGUUAAGUCGUAACAAGGUAGC